GACGAACGCUGGCGGCGUGCCUAAUACAUGCAAGUAGAACGCUGAAGGAGGAGCUUGCUUCUCUGGAUGAGUUGCGAACGGGUGAGUAACGCGUAGGUAACCUGCCUGGUAGCGAGGGAUAACUAUUGGAAACGAUAGCUAAUACCGCAUAAGAGUAGAUGUUGCAUGACAUUUGCUUAAAAGGUGCAAUUGCAUCACUACCAGAUGGACCUGCGUUGUAUUAGCUAGUUGGUGGGGUAACGGCUUACCAAGGCGACGAUACAUAGCCGACCUGAGAGGGUGAUCGGCCACACUGGGACUGAGACACGGCCCAGACUCCUACGGGAGGCAGCAGUAGGGAAUCUUCGGCAAUGGACGGAAGUCUGACCGAGCAACGCCGCGUGAGUGAAGAAGGUUUUCGGAUCGUAAAGCUCUGUUGUAAGAGAAGAACGAGUGUGAGAGUGGAAAGUUCACACUGUGACGGUAUCUUACCAGAAAGGGACGGCUAACUACGUG
rnacentral:rRNA from 1 species